rnacentral:rRNA from 1 species
UUUUGAGCUUAGUUGGCUGCGGAGCACAUGAAAACUUUAUAGUUAAGCGUGCUUAUGUGGGAGUAGUACUAGAAUAGGUGACCUCAUAGGAAGUUUCCACCGGCGCAACAA